rnacentral:rRNA from 1 species
AGCAUUAUACCGUGAAACUGCGAAUGGCUCAUUAAAUCAGUUAUCGUUUAUUUGAUAGUACCUUACUACUUGGAUAACCGUGGUAAUUCUAGAGCUAAUACAUGCUGAAAACCCCAACUUCGGGAGGGGUGUAUUUAUUAGAUAAAAAACCAACGCCCUUSGGGGCUUCUUGGUGAUUCAUGAUAACUUCACGGAUCGCAUGNGCCUUGCGNCCGGCGACGGUUCAUUCAAAUUUCUGCCCUAUCAACUUUCGAUGGUAAGGUAUUGGCUUACCAUGGUUUCAACGGGUAACGGGGAAUUAGGGUUCGAUUCCGGAGAGGGAGCCUGAGAAACGGCUACCACAUCCAAGGAAGGCAGCAGGCGCGCAAAUUACCCAAUCCCGACACGGGGAGGUAGUGACAAUAAAUACUGAUACAGGGCUCUUUUGGGUCUUGUAAUUGGAAUGAGUACAAUUUAAACCUCUUAACGAGGAACAAUUGGAGGGCAAGUCUGGUGCCAGCAGCCGCGGUAAUUCCAGCUCCAAUAGCGUAUAUUAAAGUUGUUGCAGUUAAAAAGCUCGUAGUUGAAACUUGGGCCUGGCUGGCAGGUCCGCCUCACCGCGUGUACUUGUCCGGCCGGGCCUUUCCUUCUGGAGAACCUCAUGCCCUUCACUGGGUGUGUUGGGGAACCAGGACUUUUACUUUGAAAAAAUUAGAGUGUUCAAAGCAGGCCUUUGCUCGAAUACGUUAGCAUGGAAUAAUAGAAUAGGACGUGCGGUCCUAUUUUGUUGGUUUCUAGGACCGCCGUAAUGAUUAAUANGGGACAGUCNGGGGGCAUCAGUAUUCAAUUGUCAGAGGUGNAAAUUCUUGGNAUUUAUUGAAGACUAACUACUGCGAAAGCAUUUGCCAAGGAUGUUUUCAUUAAUCAGUGAACGAAAGUUAGGGGAUCGAAGACGAUCAGAUACCGUCGUAGUCUUAACCGUAAACUAUGCCGACUAGGGAUCGGGCGAUGUUCUUUUUCUGACUCGCUCGGCACCUUACGAGAAAUCAAAGUUUUUGG